UCAAGCGAACAAGUGCAUGUGGUGGAUGCCUUGGCGAUCACAGGCGAUGAAGGACGCGGUAGCCUGCGAAAAGCUACGGGGAGCUGGCAAACGAGCUUUGAUCCGUAGAUGUCCGAAUGGGGAAACCCGGCCCUUUUGGGUCAUCCUGGACUGAAUACAUAGGUCCAGUGAAGCGAACGCGGUGAACUGAAACAUCUAAGUAACCGCAGGAAAAGAAAUCAACCGAGAUUCCCAAAGUAGUGGCGAGCGAAAUGGGAUGAGCCUUGCACUCUUUAUUUGUAUUGUUAGCCGAACGCUCUGGAAAGUGCGGCCAUAGCAGGUGAUAGCCCUGUAGGCGAAAACAGUAUGAAAGAACUAGGUGUGCGACAAGUAGGGCGGGACACGUGAAAUCCUGUCUGAAGAUGGGGGGACCAUCCUCCAAGGCUAAAUACUCGUGAUCGACCGAUAGUGAACCAGUACCGUGAGGGAAAGGCGAAAAGAACCCCGGGAGGGGAGUGAAAUAGAUCCUGAAACCGCAUGCAUACAAACAGUCGGAGCCUCGCAAGGGGUGACGGCGUACCUUUUGUAUAAUGGGUCAGCGACUUACGUUCAGUAGCAAGCUUAACCGUAUAGGGCAGGCGUAGCGAAAGCGAGUCCGAAUAGGGCGUUCAGUUGCUGGGCGUAGACCCGAAACCAGGUGAUCUAUCCAUGGCCAGGAUGAAGGUGCGGUAACACGUACUGGAGGUCCGAACCCACUAACGUUGAAAAGUUAGGGGAUGAGCUGUGGAUAGGGGUGAAAGGCUAAACAAACCUGGAAAUAGCUGGUUCUCUCCGAAAACUAUUUAGGUAGUGCCUCGUGUCUCACCUUCGGGGGUAGAGCACUGUCAUGGUUGGGGGGUCUAUUGCAGAUUACCCCGCCAUAGCAAACUCCGAAUACCGAAGAGUGCAAUCACGGGAGACAGACAUCGGGUGCUAACGUCCGGUGUCAAGAGGGAAACAACCCAGACCGCCAGCUAAGGUCCCCAAAUAUAGCUAAGUGGGAAACGAAGUGGGAAGGCUAAAACAGUCAGGAGGUUGGCUUAGAAGCAGCCACCCUUUAAAGAAAGCGUAAUAGCUCACUGAUCGAGUCGUCCUGCGCGGAAGAUGUAACGGGGCUAAGCUAUAUACCGAAGCUGCGGAUGCGAGCUUGCUCGCAUGGUAGGAGAGCGUUCCGUAAGCCUGCGAAGGUGCCUUGUAAAGGGUGCUGGAGGUAUCGGAAGUGCGAAUGCUGACAUGAGUAGCGAUAAAGGGGGUGAAAGGCCCCCUCGCCGUAAGCCCAAGGUUUCCUACGCAACGUUCAUCGGCGUAGGGUGAGUCGGCCCCUAAGGCGAGGCAGAAAUGCGUAGCUGAUGGGAAGCAGGUCAAUAUUCCUGCACCAUUGUUAGAUGCGAUGGGGGGACGGAUCGCGGAAGGUUGUCCGGGUGUUGGAAGUCCCGGUCGCUGCAUUGGAGAAGGCGCUUAGGCAAAUCCGGGCGCGCAAUUCAAGGGUGUGGCGCGAGCUCCUUAGGGAGCGAAGCAAUUGGAAGUGGUUCCAAGAAAAGCCUCUAAGCUUCAGUCUAACGAUGACCGUACCGCAAACCGACACAGGUGGGCGAGAUGAGUAUUCUAAGGCGCUUGAGAGAACUCGGGAGAAGGAACUCGGCAAAUUGGUACCGUAACUUCGGGAUAAGGUACGCCCUUGUAGCUUGACUGGCCUGCGCCAGGAGGGUGAAGGGGUUGCAAUAAACUGGUGGCUGCGACUGUUUAAUAAAAACACAGCACUCUGCAAACACGAAAGUGGACGUAUAGGGUGUGACGCCUGCCCGGUGCCGGAAGAUUAAAUGAUGGGGUGCAAGCUCUUGAUUGAAGUCCCGGUAAACGGCGGCCGUAACUAUAACGGUCCUAAGGUAGCGAAAUUCCUUGUCGGGUAAGUUCCGACCUGCACGAAUGGCGUAACGAUGGCCACACUGUCUCCUCCCGAGACUCAGCGAAGUUGAAGUGUUUGUGAUGAUGCAAUCUACCCGCGGCUAGACGGAAAGACCCCAUGAACCUUUACUGUAGCUUUGCAUUGGACUUUGAACCGAUCUGUGUAGGAUAGGUGGGAGGCUAUGAAACCGGAACGCUAGUUUCGGUGGAGCCGUCCUUGAAAUACCACCCUGGUUUGUUUGAGGUUCUAACCUUGGCCCGUGAUCCGGGUCGGGGACAGUGCAUGGUAGGCAGUUUGACUGGGGCGGUCUCCUCCCAAAGCGUAACGGAGGAGUACGAAGGUACGCUAGGUACGGUCGGAAAUCGUGCUGAUAGUGCAAUGGCAUAAGCGUGCUUAACUGCGAGACCGACAAGUCGAGCAGGUGCGAAAGCAGGUCAUAGUGAUCCGGUGGUUCUGUAUGGAAGGGCCAUCGCUCAACGGAUAAAAGGUACUCUGGGGAUAACAGGCUGAUACCGCCCAAGAGUUCAUAUCGACGGCGGUGUUUGGCACCUCGAUGUCGGCUCAUCUCAUCCUGGGGCUGUAGCCGGUCCCAAGGGUAUGGCUGUUCGCCAUUUAAAGAGGUACGUGAGCUGGGUUUAAAACGUCGUGAGACAGUUUGGUCCCUAUCUGCCGUGGGCGUUGGAUAUUUGAAGGGGGCUGCUCCUAGUACGAGAGGACCGGAGUGGACGAACCUCUGGUGUACCGGUUGUCACGCCAGUGGCAUCGCCGGGUAGCUAUGUUCGGAAGAGAUAACCGCUGAAAGCAUCUAAGCGGGAAACUCGCCUUAAGAUGAGAUAUCCCUGGAGGCUAGACCUCCUUGAAGGGUCGUUCGAGACCAGGACGUUGAUAGGUCAGGUGUGUAAGCGCAGUAAUGCGUUCAGCUAACUGAUACUAAUUGCCCGUAAGGCUUGAUCC
rnacentral:rRNA from 1 species